rnacentral:lncRNA from 1 species
GGCCUUGCUCUUAUGUCAUCUGACUAAAGGUUUCACAGACCAAAGAUAACCAUCCAACUUGUUGGAAUACUGAAACAAUUACUGCCUGCUGUCCACACACCACAUAAAAUAUGUGGAUUAUCUAAAUUCUGCAGAAAAGGUUUGGAAGCUGAUCAAUCAAUACUGGAACUCCCUCUUCUCCAGAAGAGACAUCCUGGCCUCCAUGCAGAGGAAUGUGUGGAGGGACAUAUAUUUAAGGAAGACACUAAACCAGAAAAUACUACAUUACACCCUCUUCUAAGACUUCUAAGAUUGUUGUCAUGCCUACCACAGACAUUCAGAUGAUGUGUAUUCUUGAUUGUGAUUUCAUGUUUGGAGCUGAUGAAGGAGUUUGAAAUCUCCAGAGCAGCAAGGAGAGUGGGGAGUAGAACUCAUCAUCUUUAGGUCACUCAUAUUCG